ensembl:snRNA U6 U6 spliceosomal RNA
GUGCUUACUUCAACAACACAUAUACUAAAAUUGAAAUGAUACAGAGAAGAUCAGCAUGGUCCCUUCACAAGGAUGACAUACAAAUUCAUGAAGUGUUCCAUUAAAAA